UAAGGAAUAUUGGUCAAUGGACGAAAGUCUGAACCAGACGUGCCGCGUGGAGGAUGAAGGCCCUCUGGGUUGUAAACUUCUUUAUAGGGGACGAAAAAGGGUCUUUCUAGAUCAACUGACGGUACCCUGGGAAUAAGCACCGGCUAACUCCGUGCCAGCAGCCGCGGUAAUACGGAGGGUGCAAGCGUUAUCCGGAUUCACUGGGUUUAAAGGGUGCGUAGGUGGGUUAGUAAGUCAGUGGUGAAAUCUUCGAGCUUAACUCGGAAACUGCCAUUGAUACUAUUAGUCUUGAAUAUUGUGUAGGUUAGCGGAAUAUGUCAUGUAUCGGUGAAAUGCUUAGAUAUGACAUAGAACACCAAUUGCGAAGGCAGCUGGCUACACAUAUAAUGACACUGAGGCACGAAAGCGUGGGGAUCAAACA
rnacentral:rRNA from 1 species